rnacentral:rRNA from 1 species
GAUUGGGGUGAAGUCGUAACAAGGUAGCCGUAGGAGAACCUGCGGCUGGAUCACCUCCUUUCUAUGGAGAAA